rnacentral:rRNA from 1 species
UGCCAGCAGCCGCGGUAACACGGGGGGCGCAAGCGUUAUUCGGAAUUAUUGGGCGUAAAGGGCGCGCAGGCGGUCUUGUCCGUCAGGUGUGAAAGCUCGGGGCUCAACCCCGGAAGUGCACUUGAAACUGAAGUUCUUGAAUGUAGUUGAGGUAGGCGGAAUGUGUUGUGUAGCGGUGAAAUGCAUAGAUAUGACACAGAACGCCAAUUGCGAAGGCAUCUCUCUGGGCCGAUAUUGACGCUGAGGCGCGAAGGCGUGGGUAGCGAACGGGAUUAGAUA